CUGUAGUCUGUUGCAGCUGAAUGAUUUGCAAGUGUUCUUUCACUUUUUACUUUUGUCCUCAGCAUUACCUACAUGAACUUGUUAUCAAAACACUUGUCCAGCACAACCUCUUUUAUAUGCUGCAUCAGUUCUUGCAGUACCACGUCCUCAGCGACUCCAAACCUUUGGCUUGUCUGCUGUUAUCCCUAGAGAGUUUCUAUCCUCCUGCUCAUCAGCUAUCUCUGGACAUGCUGAAGGUAACUCUGAUGUGUGAGGUUUUAGACUAUGGAAACUAACUCUGUUCCUGUUGUUUGCACUGACCUGGACUUCUCUCCCUUAUUCCUAGCGCCUUUCAACAGCAAAUGAUGAAAUAGUAGAAGUUCUCCUUUCCAAACACCAGGUGUUAGCUGCCUUAAGGUUUAUCCGGGGCAUUGGUGGCCAUGACAACAUUUCUGCACGAAAAUUUUUAGAUGCUGCAAAGCAGACUGAAGACAACAUGCUUUUCUAUACAAUAUUCCGGUUUUUUGAACAGCGAAACCAGCGUUUGCGAGGGAGCCCCAAUUUCACACCAGGGGAACACUGUGAAGAACAUGUUGCUUUUUUCAAACAGAUUUUUGGAGACCAAGCUCUAAUGAGGCCUACAACAUUCUGAAAUCACUUGCUGUUUUUUUUUAUAUAAAAAUGUGUACAAAGUUAAUUUAUUGCAUUAAUAAAGCUCUUUAAACUAUA
rnacentral:sRNA from 1 species